AACGAACGCUGGCGGCAUGCCUAACACAUGCAAGUCGAACGAAGGCUUCGGCCUUAGUGGCGCACGGGUGCGUAACGCGUGGGAAUCUGCCCUUGGGUUCGGAAUAACUCAGAGAAAUUUGAGCUAAUACCGGAUGAUGACGUAAGUCCAAAGAUUUAUCGCCCAAGGAUGAGCCCGCGUAAGAUUAGCUAGUUGGUGGGUAAAGGCCGUACCAAGGCGACGAUCUUUAGCUGGUCUGAGAGGAUGAUCAGCCACACUGGGACUGAGACACGGCCCAGACUCCUACGGGAGGCAGCAGUGGGGAAUAUUGGACAAUGGGCGAAAGCCUGAUCCAGCAAUGCCGCGUGAGUGAUGAAGGCCUUAGGGUUGUAAAGGCUCUUUUACCUAGGGAUGAUAAUGACAGUACCUGGAGAAUAAGACUCCGGCUAACUCC
rnacentral:rRNA from 1 species